rnacentral:rRNA from 1 species
UACAGAGGUCUCAAGCGUUGUUCGGAUUCAUUGGGCGUAAAGGGUGCGUAGGCGGUGUCGUAAGUCGGAUGUGAAAUCCCCGGGGCUAACUUCGGAACUGCAUUCGAUACUGCGAUGCUCGAGGACUCGAGAGGAGAUUGGAAUUCACGGUGUAGCAGUGAAAUGCGUAGAUAUCGUGAGGAAGACCAGUGGCGAAGGGCGGGAAUCUCUGGAGAGU